UCUGGUGAUGAUGGCGAAGAGGUCACACCCGUUCCCAUACCGAACACGGAAGUUAAGCUCUUCAGCGCCGAUGGUAGUUGGGGGUUUCCCCCUG
rnacentral:rRNA from 1 species